AGCAGCUGCCGCAGUGAUGAAUGGAGAGGGAGAGCAGUUUGUGGUUUUGCAGUUUUGGCAAACUUCUGCAGAGAACUCGCUGUGUGGGCGUCAGUCAAGGGAGUUUGCAGGAUGGUUUAUGGGAGGCUAAGGCCUGCUCCAGCCGCUCCUUUUCCUUCAGCAGGUCGUCUAUCUCUGUCUGGAGGUCGGACUUCUCCUCUUCAAGCUGGUCAGUCUCCUGAGGUGAGGAGGAAGAAAAUCGGAGAAAAGAGAUUUGGGCUUUGCCUUGUUUGCUCCUGCCAAGGAAGACGACUGGUUCUUGCUCUGACUUCUGCUUUUUGCACGGCUGGAAGGAGAGACAGAUGUGAUGACUGUCGGCUGCACCAUCCACUUCAGAUCCGGCGAGGUUGAGAUUGCAGUCACAGUCGGAACAAAGGAGUCUGCUACACUGGUCUCAAUGUCCUGGUGAGAAUAAACAUCAGAGAAACAAA